CUAGGGUCCUUUUAAAAAAAUUGUAUUCGCAUCCAACAUCAAGUAACUCGCCAAUUACGGAAUGGAUCGAUACUUUAAACCAAAUGGCUUACAAAGUGGAGUUAAUUUGGAGUGGAGAGAAGUUCUGCUGUCAGAGGAAUUGAACCCAGAACCUUGGAAGUGGAAGGCAAGCAUCUUAAUAACUAAGGAAAUUUGCCAAUUGUCGAAACAAUGGUCAACGAUCUAAAACCAAAGUAACAUUACACUUCUCUCUGGAGUCUGAUGAGAUCAAGACCCAGGAUUUCAGCAACUCACUCACUGACUGGUCGUCAGUGUGGAAUACCAUCAUCUCUCGCAACCAGAACAGGCUCAGAGUAAGAAUUAUUACUGUUAUGUUUUCUUACUUUUAAAAUUAUUAUUAUUAUUAUUAUUAUUACAGUAUUAUUAGUAUUAGUACCUACCUAGUCAUCAUCGGACAUGAUAGACAGCAAGAAGAAGAGAUAGUAUUAUAUUUUCAUAAAGUUACAAACAUUUAUGCAGAUUUACAAUUGAAGAAUAUGGCCUUAUGUGCCUCAUGGCACGAAGAAGAUAGGUGAA